rnacentral:rRNA from 1 species
CGAACGCUGGCGGCGUGCUUAACACAUGCAAGUCGAGCGAUGAAGCACCUUCGGGUGUGAAUUAGCGGCGAACGGGUGAGGAACACGUGAGAAAUCUGCCUUCAACUCUGGGAUAACUCCGUGAAAACGGGCGUAAUACCGGACUAUGAGAUCUACAGGCAUCUGUGGAUCUGGAAAGUUUUUCGGUUUGAAGAUGAUCUCGCGGCCUAUCAGCUUGUUGGUGAGGUAAUGGCUCACCAAGGCGACGACGGGUAGCCGGCCUGAGAGGGCGACCGGCCACACUGGGACUGAGACACGGCCCAGACUCCUACGGGAGGCAGCAGUGGGGAAUAUUGGGCAAUGGAGGCAAGUCUGAUCCAGCCAUUCCGCGUGCAGGAUGAAGGCCCUCGGGUUGUAAACUGCUUUUGUACGGAACGAAAAGGUCUCUAUUAAUACUAGGGGCUCAUGACGGUACCGUAAGAAUAAGCACCGGCUAACUACGUGCCAGCAG